UACCAGCUCUCCGAGUGGUAGGGAUGAUUAUUGGGCUUAAAGCGUCCGUAGCCGGCUUAGCAAGUCUCCUGUUAAAUUCAGCGACCUAAUCGUUGAGCCGCGGGAGAUACUACUAGGCUAGGAGGCGGGAGAGGUCAACGGUACUUCCGGGGUAGGGGUGAAAUCCUACAAUCCCGGGAGGACCACCAGUGGCGAAGGCUGUUGACUAGAACGCGCUCGACGGUGAGGGACGAAAGCUGGGGGAGCGAACCGGAUUAGAUACCCGGGUAGUCCCAGCUGUAAACGAUGCGAGCUAGGUGUUGGGGUGGCUACGUGCCACUUCAGUGCCGCAGGGAAGCCAUUAAGCUCGCCGCCUGGGGAGUACGGCCGCAAGGCUGAAACUUAAAGGAAUUGGCGGGGGAGCACCACAAGGCGUGAAGCUUGCGGUUC
rnacentral:rRNA from 1 species